rnacentral:rRNA from 1 species
GUCCCGGUGUCAUGAUUAUUGGGCGUAAGGGCUCGCAGGCGGUUUCUUAAGUCUGAUGUGAAAGCCCCCGGCCCAACCGGGGAGGGUCAUUGGAAACUGGGAAACUUGAGUGCAGAAGAGGAGAGUGGAAUUCCACGUGUAGCGGUGAAAUGCCUAGAGAUGUGGAGGAACCCCCAACGCACAAGCCUCAUUUUGAAAAAGGACUGAAGGUCAGACUCAUAACUUUUAGCAGUGAACAGGAUUAGAUACCCUGGUAGUCCACGCCGUAAACGAUGAGUGCUAAGUGUUAGGGGGUUUCCGCCCCUUAGUGCUGCAGCUAACGCAUUAAGCACUCCGCCUGGGGAGUACGGUCGCAAGACUGAAACUCAAAGGAAUUGACGGGGGCUGGCACAAGCGGUGGAGCAUGUGGUUUAAUUCAAAGCAACGGGAAGAACCUUACCACGUCUUGACAUCCUCUGACAACCCUGGAGAUAGGGGUUUCCCUUCCGGGGAGUGAGUGAUAAGGGGUGCAUGGUGGUGGUA